rnacentral:rRNA from 1 species
UCGCUCCUACCGAUUGAAUGAUCCGGUGAAAUCUUCGGACUGUUGCUGCAGUGAGUGCAAGCUCACCACAGCUUUGGGAAGUUGAUUAAACCUUAUCAUUUAGAGGAAGGAG